UCAACAGCUGAUCACUGUGCAUGACUCUAUCUUGUCAUGUACUUAUAUCUAUGGGUAGGUGCUUCUGUUUGCAGCAGGAAAUACAACAAAGGAAGACUUGGAACCAUAGAGAGAAGGGAGUGAUCUGUGAACGGAAGAUACGUGCCCAUGCAACAUCAACUGUCCUACGAGACAGGGGGCAGGGGACAGGAGAAAACACCAUCUACAUGACUUCUCUUGGAUCACCUGCAAACAGAUGCCAUUUCAGGGAAAUGAACACGAAAAUGAUGUCCCAGCUGUGUGAAGAAAUGACCCCACCACCUUUUCCAAAUUUUCUCUCUCAGCUUUUCAAAGCAGGGUCUUGGUAGUGGCUUAUUGAGUAGAUCUGCAAGCAUUUCAUUUGUUGGGCAGUAGAUCAGCUCGAUUAGUCCAUCCUUUUGCAGAUCUCUCACUACAUGGUACUUCACAUCAAUAUGUUUGUUAUAUCACUGAAAGAAGACUCUUCCCAACAGAAAUUUUAGAAGCUUGUUUUAGACAUCCUUCCUCCAGAAAUAGAUGGGAGAACUUACUCAUCCCAUCCACCUCCUUCAAAGCAGAAAGAACCUUCAGACUAACACAAGGAUCAAAGUGCCUCUGCUUGAUUUCCUCUACACCUCAACCCCUAACCUAUCCGAAGCCAUUCUUAAGGGUUUCACAAUCUACAGGAGCAGCUUCCCAGGAUAGGUGGAUCCAACCCUGCAACUUUUGCAGGAAUUUAUGUUUCAUAAAGAUUGAGAGAUUUUCCAUUUAAAUUGUAUAUGAUAAUAUAUCUUUACUUCUCUGGGAAGUUCAGGAAGGAAAUUUUCAUCCACAGCCAGUGUCCGCAGACUGUGCAAGUAGCCAAUGGUGGGAGGUAGAGACUCCAGUUCAUUGCAGCUGCAGUCGAAUUCUUCUAAUAAAGAUAAACUGAAAUGUUAAAGACAUUUGUUAGUCUACUUCCCAGAGCCAUCAAUCAUUUAAAAUACUGCUUUUAAUCUUUAGCAUUCUAGAUUUUCAAAAUGUUGGCAAUGCAGCUCCUGAUGGCAUCGACUCUUAGCACCAGAAACCCCACUGACCACUAGGGGCAUCAGGGGUACAGCUAGCCAGUGAGGGCAUCCUCCC